rnacentral:rRNA from 1 species
AUGGAGCUCACGGCCUGGCCACCGCUCCUCUUGCUCAUCACUCUCUCACUCUCGCUCGCAGCUGCGCUCCUCUUCUUGCUCAGCUGCCGCCACAGCGUCGAGAAGAAGGUGACCGGGAAGGAGCUUCCCCCAGGCCCACCGGCGCUGCUCUUCCUGGCCAAGUUCCUAGCGCUCCGGCGAUCCAUCUUCCACCUUGCGCCGCUCCUCCGCGAGCUGCACGCGCGCUACGGCCCCGUCAUCUCCAUCCGCCUCUUCCGCGCCCUCGUCUUCGUCUCCGACCGCCACCUCGCCCACCGCGUCCUCGUCCAGGGCGGCGCCACCUUCGCCGACCGCCCGAGGCUCUUCGAGCCGGGCCUCCUCUUCACCUCCGGCUCCCGCAACAUCAACGCCGCGCCCUACGGGCCUUACUGGCGCCUCGUCCGCCGCAACCUCGCCUCCGAGGCGCUGCACCCGGCCUGCGUCAGCCAGUUCGCGCCCGCGAGGCGCCGGAUGCGCGACAUGCUCGUCCGCGACCUCCGCAAGCGCGGCGCCGCCGGCGACCCCGUCGAGGUGAGGACGCCGUUCCGGAACGCCAUGUUCGACCUGCUGGUGUACAUGAGCCUCGGCGCCAGGCUCGCCCCGGAGAUGCUCGACGAGAUGCAGGAGAUGCAGCUGUGGGUCGUCCGCACCAUCACCGGCUUCCCCAUCUUUUCCUUCUUGCCGGCGCUCACCAAGAGGCUCUUCCGCAAGCGAUGGGAAGCGCACCUUGCCGUCCGCCGGAGGCAGGACGAGAUCUUGCUCCCGCUGAUCGAAACAAGGCGUUCCGUUUCCGUGCCCCGCGGCGCUGACAACCCACCGUGCUACGCCGACUCGCUUCUGGCGCUGCGUGUGGCGGACGAAGGCGGCCGCCCGCUCACGGACUCCGAGCUCGUCAGUCUCUGCUCCGAGUUCUUGAGCGGUGGCACGGACAGCACGGUGACCUCGCUGGAAUGGAUCAUGGGGGAGCUGGUGAACCAUCCGGACAUGCAGGCCAAGGUCUACGAGGAGGUCAGGAACUCAGGAGCAAGGCGGAGCUCAGUGAAGGCGACCUGCAGCGGAUGCCGUACCUGA